rnacentral:rRNA from 1 species
CCCGUCAGAUCAACGCUGGCGGCGUGCCUAACACAUGCAAGUCGAACGAGAAAGGGACUUCGGUCCUGAGUAAAGUGGCGCACGGGUGAGUAACACGUGACUAACCUACCCUUGAGUGGGGAAUAACUAGGAGAAAUCUUAGCUAAUACCGCAUAAUACCUACGGGUCAAAGGAGCAAUUCGCUUAAGGAGGGGGUCGCGGCAGAUUAGUUAGUUGGCGGGGUAAUGGCCCACCAAGACAGUGAUCUGUAUCCGGCCUGAGAGGGCGCACGGACACACUGGAACUGAAACACGGUCCAGACUCCUACGGGAGGCAGCAGUGGGGAAUUUUGCGCAAUGGGGGAAACCCUGACGCAGCAACGCCGCGUGGAGGAUGAAGUCCCUUGGGACGUAAACUCCUUUCGAUCGGGACGAUAAUGACGGUACCGAGAGAAGAAGCCCCGGCUAACUUCGUGCCAGCAGCCGCGGUAAUACGAGGGGGGCGAGCGUUGUUCGGAAUUAUUGGGCGUAAAGGGUGCGUAGGCGGUUCGGUAAGUCUUGUGUGAAAUCUUCGGGCUCAACUCGAAGUCUGCACCAGAAACUGCCGGGCUUGAGUAUGGGAGAGGUGAGUGGAAUUUCCGGUGUAGCGGUGAAAUGCGUAGAUAUCGGAAGGAACACCUGUGGCGAAAGCGGCUCACUGGACCAUAACUGACGCUGAUGCACGAAAGCUAGGGGAGCAAACAGGAUUAGAUACCCUGGUAGUCCUAGCCCUAAACGAUGAUCGCUUGGUGUGACGGGUACCCAAUCCCGCCGUGCCGAAGCUAACGCGUAAGCGAUCCGUA